UACGUAGGGGGCAAGCGUUGUCCGGAUUUAUUGGGCGUAAAGAGCGUGUAGGCGGCCAAACAGGUCAGCUGUGAAAACUCGAGGCUCAACCUCGAGACGUCGGUUGAAACCGUUUGGCUAGAGUCCGGAAGAGGAGAGUGGAAUUCCCGGUGUAGCGGUGAAAUGCGCAGAUAUCGGGAAGAACACCCGUGGCGAAGGCGGCUCUCUGGGACGGUACUGACGCUGAGACGCGAAAGCGUGGGGAGCCGAACGAGG
rnacentral:rRNA from 1 species